AGAGUUUGAUCAUGGCUCAGGAUGAAUGCUGGCGGCGUGCCCAAUACAUGCAAGUCGAGCGGUAAGGCCCUUCGGGGUACACGAGCGGCGGACGGCUGAGUAACGCGUGGGAACAUGCCCCAAAGUGAGGGAUAACGCACCGAAAGGUGUGCUAAUACCGCAUAUGGUCUUCGGAUUAAAGGAUUUAUCCGCUUUGGGAGUGGCCCGCGUACGAUUAGAUUGUUGGUGAGGUAACGGCUCACCAAGUCGACGAUCGUUAACUGGUCUGAGAGGAUAAUCAGUCAGACUGGAACUGAGACACGGUCCAGACUCCUACGGGAGGCAGCAGUAAGGAAUCUUCCACAAUGGGCGAAAGCCUGAUGGAGCAACGCCGCGUGCAGGAUGAAGGCCCUCGGGUCGUAAACUGCUUUUAUGAGUGAAGAAUAUGACGGUAACUCAUGAAUAAGCACCGGCUAACUACGUG
rnacentral:rRNA from 1 species